AAGUCGUAACAAGGUUUCCGUAGGUGUACCUGCGGAAGGAUCAUUAUUGAAGCUUGAAUCGUAGCAUUGAGAACUGUUGCUGACCUGUUAAAGGGUAUGUGCGCGUUCGACGUGUUGCGUUCUAUUCAUCCACCUGUGCACCUUUGUAGACUUGAUUAACUUUCGCUCUCGAGCGGUUUAGAAGGGUUGCUUUCGAGCUCCCUUUGUCUAUCAAGUCUAUGUCUAUAUAAUCUCUUGUAUGUCUAGAAUGUCUUGUUUAUGGGACGCAAGUCCUUUAAAUCUUAUACAA
rnacentral:misc_RNA from 1 species